rnacentral:misc_RNA from 1 species
UUUGAGUUCGCGGGAGAGUAGGUUAUUGCCAGGGUUUUUAUUUUAUACUUUAAACCUUGAAUUUAUUUUUUUAAUGUUUAUAUUAUUUGAAUAAAACAUUCAAAUAAUAUAAAAAAUAAUAUAUAUAUUGACAUGGAUUAAACAAAGAUAUAUAUUAUUCUAUGUUAAGAUAAAAAUAUGGUCAAAGGGAGCUUUAAGGCGAAGAAGGUCGUGGUAAGCUGCGAAAAGCUUGGGGGAGAAGCAAACAUUUAUUGAUCCCAAGAUUACCGAAUGGAGUAAUCCAGCUAGCAAGAUGCUAGCUAUCUAUUAUCUAAAUAAUAGAGGCGAUACCAGGGGAAGUGAACCAUCUAAAUACCCUGAAAAA